AUGGUCAUAGACGAAAUUUAAAAAAAAUCAUUAGUACGAAAAAAAAAUUAAAAGAUUAUAAAUCCGGCAAAGAUUUGUCAAGGAAAAAAGAAACAGCGAAACAGUUUCUGACCCGUUGACAACAAAAUAAAAUAUAGCAAUGACAGUGUAACAUAUAAAACCAACGAUUCUUGAUAAACACGGACCCCAUAAAACUCUAUUGCUAAGCAAUUCCCGCUUCUUUCAAGAAACUCAGAGGUCAUUUUCGAGAACAGGGG
rnacentral:lncRNA from 1 species